GACGCUUUGGCCGAGUGGUUAAGGCGAUCGCCUGCUAUAUAUGGUAAUUCCUGUUUAGGAAACACCUUCUAGCGUCAGCGGUUGGGGUUUCCCCGCGUGUGUUCGAAUCGCACAGGCGUCG